ensembl:lncRNA
CUGACACAUAUACUGAUACUGACACCGAUACAUAGAGCGAUACUGACACCGAUACAUAUACUGAUACUGACACCGAUACAUAUACCGAUACUGACAACGAUACAUAUAGCGAUACUGACACCGAUACUGACACCGAUACAUAUAGCGAUACUGACACCGAUACAUAUACUGAUACUGACACCGAUACAUAUGCCGAUACUGACACCGAUACAUAUACCGAUACUGACACCGACACUUAUACUGAUACUGACACCGAUACAUAUACCGAUACUGACACCGAUACAUAUAGCGAUACUGACACCGAUACUGACACCGAUACUGACACCGAUACAUAUACUGAUACUGACACCGAUACAUAUACCGAUACUGACAACGAUACAUAUAGCGAUACUGACACCGAUACAUAUAGCGAUACUGACACCGAUACAUAGAGCGAUAC